rnacentral:rRNA from 1 species
UGGGGAAUAUUGCACAAUGGGCGCAAGCCUGAUGCAGCCAUGCCGCGUGUGUGAAGAAGGCCUUCGGGUUGUAAAGCACUUUCAGCGAGGAGGAAGGUGGUGAGCUUAAUACGCUCAUCAAUUGACGUUACUCGCAGAAGAAGCACCGGCUAACUCCGUGCCAGCAGCCGCGGUAAUACGGAGGGUGCAAGCGUUAAUCGGAAUUACUGGGCGUAAAGCGCACGCAGGCGGUUUGUUAAGUCAGAUGUGAAAUCCCCGGGCUCAACCUGGGAACUGCAUUUGAAACUGGCAAGCUAGAGUCUCGUAGAGGGGGGUAGAAUUCCAGGUGUAGCGGUGAAAUGCGUAGAGAUCUGGAGGAAUACCGGUGGCGAAGGCGGCCCCCUGGACGAAGACUGACGCUCAGGUGCGAAAGCGUGGGGCAGCAAACAGGAUUAGAUACCCUGGUAGUCCAGCGCUGUAAACGAUGUCGAUUUUGGAGGUUGUGCCCUUGAGGCGUGGCUUCCGGAGCUAACGCGUUAAAGUCGACCGCCUGGGGAGUACGGCCGCAAGGUUAAAAC